AGUCAAGAGUUUUUGGCACCGUUUUGGUGAGCGAAUUUCUUUUGCCUUUAGAAAGGUGAAGGAAAAUG
rfam:Rhizobium sp. Root149 contig_12, whole genome shotgun sequence.